AUGCUCCAAAACCUGUUUGUCUGUAUAUGGACUGCUGCUCUCUUUUGCCAGGGAACUGCGUGUACACUUCUGCUUUCUCAAGAGCACAUUGUGUGGGUUAUUGACAAGAGGCAGUUUGGCUCCAAAAUCCUGCCAAAACACUGUUGUUCAACAGGGAGAGAUUUUCCUCUCCCCCCUUCCCUCUCCCUCCCCCCUCUCCUCUCUCCCUUCUCUCCUCUCUCCACUCCCCUCUCCCAUCUCCCUCUUCCUCUCCCCUCUCUCCUUUCCCUUCUCUCCUCUCUCCACUCCCCUCUCCCUGCUCGUUCCUCCACCUCCCUCUCCCUCCCUCUCCCUUCCCCCUUAACUCUCUCCUCUACCUCCUCCUUGUCCUCCUCCCUCUCCUUCUUCUCCUCCCCUUCCUCUCUCCACCCCCACCCCUGCCCUCUUCCCUCUCCCCCUCUCCUCUUCCCUCUUCCUCCUCCCUCACCCCUGCCCUCCCUUUUCCCUCUUCCCCUCCCCUCUUCCCUCUCUCCCUCCUCCUCCCCUGCUCCCUCUCCCUUCUCCCUCUCCCCCUUCCUCUCCCUCUCCCUCCCCUCUCCUCCCUUCCCCUUACUGGGUUGGGAGAAACACACGGACAGUGGGAGGAAGCUGGGGAGGAUGGUGGCUGGGGCAGGAGGGACACUGCGGUGGGACACCAUGGUGGGACACCGGGGCAGGUGGCUGGGGCAGGAGGGACACCACAGUGGGACACCACGGCGGGACACCGGGGCAGGAGGGACACCAGGGUGGGACACCACAGUGGGACACCGGGGCAGGUGGCUGGGGCAGGAGGGACACCAUGGUGGGGCGCUGGGGCAGGAGGGACGCCGUGGUGGGAUGCCACAGCGGGACACCGGGGCAGGUGGCUGGGGCAGGAGGGACACCAUGGUGGGGCACCGGGGCAGGUGGCUGGGGCAGGAGGGACGCCGCGGUGGGAUGCCACGGCGGGACACCGGGGCAGGUGGCUGGGGCAGGAGGGAUGCCGCGGUGGGACACUGGGGCAGGUGGCUGGGGCAGGAGAGAGACCAUGGUGGGACACCACGGCAGGACACUGCGGCCUGCGCAUGGUCGCCAGCCCGGGGCAGACGGAGGCGCCGCUGGGAGCCGCUCUCCCCGGCCUUUCCCCUCUCCGGCCUCCCUUGCGCCGGCCCCAUGAGGAGGCGCCCGGUGGCCUACCCCGCCACCGGGAAGGGGAGCUGCGGCCUGCGGGGCUGCCCCGCGUGUCGCCGCUGGCUCCCGCCCAGGCCUGCAGCGGCGGCGCGUGGCCCCGCAGCGCCGUGA
rnacentral:lncRNA from 1 species